rnacentral:rRNA from 1 species
AUGCAUAACCGGGCGGGCGGCGGGGGCGGGGCGGCGGGGGAGAUCGUGGAGGCGGGCGAGAGGAUCGUGCCGCACAGCGGGCCCCUGGGCGCCAAGCGCUCCGCCAUGCGCAAGAGCGCGCGCUUCGCCGAGUCCGUGUCCGCGCCCCUCACGGCGCCGCACGGGGCGCCGGCGCCGCGGGCCAGGAACGACGGCGGCGGCGACGACGACGACGACUACGUGGAGAUCACCCUGGACGUGCGGGACGACUCGGUGGCGGUGCACAGCGUGAAGCCGGCGGCGGGCGGCGAGGACUCGGACGUGAAGCUGCUGGCGCAGACGCUGGAGAAGCGCUCCUCCUCCUACGGCCAGGGCGUGCUCCGCACCGCCUCCACGCGGAUCAAGCAGGUCUCGCAGGAGCUGCGGCGCCUCGCCUCCGUCAACCGCCGGGGGGCCGGCCCCGGCCGCGUCGACAAGUCCAAGUCCGCCGCGGCCCACGCGCUCAAGGGCCUCAAGUUCAUCAGCCGCACCGACGGCUCCGCCGGCUGGCCCGCCGUCGAGAAGCGCUUCGACGACCUCGCCGAGAACGGCCUCCUCCACCGCUCCAAGUUCGGCAAGUGCAUCGGGAUGAAGGAGCUGGCGUUCGCCGGCGAGCUGUUCGACGCGCUGGCGAGGCGGCGGAACAUCACCGGGGACAGCAUCAGCAAGGCGGAGCUGCUCGAGUUCUGGGACCAGAUCUCCGACACCAGCUUCGACAGCCGCCUGCAGACCUUCUUCGACAUGGUCGACAAGGACGCUGACGGCAGGAUCACCGAGGAGGAGGUCAAAGAGAUCAUCACGCUGAGCGCGGCGGCCAACAACCUGAAGAAGGUCUCGGAGCAGUCGGAGGAGUACGCCCGGCUCAUCAUGGAGGAGCUCGACCCCAACAACCUCGGCUACAUCGAGCUGUACAAUCUGGAGAUGCUGCUGCUGCAGGCGCCGAGCCAGUCGAUGGGGAUCGGGACAACCAACAGCCGCAACCUGAGCCAGAUGCUGAGCCAGCACCUCCGGCCCACGGCGGAGCCCAACCCGCUCCGGCGGUGGUACCGCCGCGCCAGCUACUUCCUGGAGGACAACUGGCGGCGCUGCUGGGUGAUCCUGCUGUGGCUCUCCAUCUGCGGGGGCCUCUUCACCUGGAAGUUCAUGCAGUACCGGGAGCGCGCCGUGUUCAAGGUGAUGGGCUACUGCGUGUGCGUGGCCAAGGGCGGCGCCGAGACGCUCAAGUUCAACAUGGCGCUCAUCCUGCUCCCCGUGUGCCGCAACACCAUCACGUGGUUCCGCAACCGCACCGCCGCGGGGCGGUUCGUGCCGUUCGACGACAACAUCAACUUCCACAAGGUGAUCGCGGCGGGGAUCUCGGUCGGCGCCGGGCUGCACAUCAUCUCCCAUUUGACGUGCGACUUCCCGCGCCUGCUGCACGCCACCGAGGAGGAGUACGAGCCCAUGAAGCCCUUCUUCGGCAAGGAACAGCCGCCCAACUACUGGUGGUUCGUCAAGGGCACGGAGGGGUGGACGGGGCUGGUGAUGCUGCUGCUCAUGGCCAUCGCCUUCACGCUCGCCAUGCCGUGGUUCCGCCGCGGCAGGCUCAGCCUCCCCAAGCCGCUCAACCGGCUCACCGGGUUCAACGCCUUCUGGUACUCGCACCACCUCUUCGUCGUCGUCUACGCGCUGCUCAUCGUCCACGGCCACUUCCUCUACCUCACACACAAGUGGCAAAAGAAGUCGACGUGGAUGUACCUGGCGGUGCCGAUGGUGAUGUACGCGUGCGAGCGGCUGACGCGGGCGCUGCGGUCGAGCGUGCGGCCGGUGAAGAUCCUCAAGGUGGCGGUGUACCCCGGCAACGUGCUGUCGCUGCACUUGUCCAAGCCGCAGGGGUUCCGGUACAAGAGCGGGCAGUACAUCUUCGUCAACUGCGCCGCCGUCUCGCCCUUCCAAUGGCACCCGUUCUCCAUCACGUCGGCGCCGCAGGACGACUACGUGAGCGUGCACAUCCGGACGCUGGGCGACUGGACCCGGGAGCUCAAGAACGUCUUCUCCAAGGUCUGCCGGCCGCCCACGGAGGGCAAGAGCGGCCUGCUCCGGGCCGAGUACGACCGCGACGGCGCCAUGUCCAACCCGAGCUUCCCAAAGGUGCUGAUCGACGGGCCGUACGGCGCGCCGGCACAGGACUACAAGCAAUACGACAUCGUGUUGCUCGUGGGGCUGGGCAUCGGGGCCACGCCCAUGAUCUCCAUCAUCAAGGACAUCAUCAACAACAUGAAGCGGUUCGAAGGCGACGUCGAGUCCGGCAACCCCGGGGACGCGAGCACGUCGGCCUCGUCGUUCCGGACCCGGCGCGCCUACUUCUACUGGGUGACGCGGGAGCAAGGCUCCUUCGAGUGGUUCCGCGGCGUCAUGGACGAGAUAGCUGAGUCGGACAAGAAGAGUGUCAUCGAGCUCCAUAACUACUGCACUAGUGUCUACGAGGACGGGGACGCCCGGUCCGCGCUCAUCGCCAUGCUCCAGUCCCUCAACCAUGCCAAGAACGGCGUCGACAUCGUCUCCGGCACCCGUGUCAAGACCCAUUUUGCCCGACCAAACUGGCGCAACGUCUACAAGCGUAUCGCCCUCAACCACCGUGAACAGCGUGUCGGAGUAUUCUACUGCGGUGCACCGGUGCUAACAAAGGAGCUGCGUGACCUUGCGCAAGAUUUCUCGAGAAAGACAAACACGAAAUUCGAGUUCCACAAGGAGAAUUUUUAA